rnacentral:lncRNA from 1 species
UAGUACUAUAGGUAACUAUUACCUGGAGGUACCAAGUUUUUACGUUAGAAAAUAUUGUCAUUAGAAAAUAUAGUACUUAAGUUACAUUUUCAAAGAUGGUAAAAACCCCAACUAUGUUAAUGACACCAAACUAUUAGUAAACUACAAUUCGAGAUUGUCCUGCCUUAUGGAGUGCAAAUCUGGUAUAUCAGGCAGCGUUGGGCAGGGAUCAAUUUGUGCAACUACACUUAAACUGAACUCUUUGCUUUCCAAGUGCUCCACUUAAACUGAAAGAUUCUACACUCCGAAUCUCAUUCAGAGUGUCAUGCUUUCGGUGUAACGUUUUUCAUAUCAAACUUAGAAACCCAGUUGGUGCAGAAUAUCUGUGGUCCAUUAUUUUACUACGAUAUGGGAGCUAUGUUUUGACUUUUGACCAUUACUUAUUUAUCACUUUAUAUUAAGAGUGUUGGAAGUUGAAUUACGGGCUGUCUCAUUUAUCUCACUAUUGACUUGACUGCUCAUGUGGACUGGCAUCAUGUUUGUCACUUGGUCACUUACUAUGCCGUUGCCAAGUCUUCUGAGCUGUAUUGUAUACUGACACCUUCCUACGAUGCUUGAAUUGCAGCCUUUGUUUGAUGGCCUCACCUGCAUCGCCGAGAGAGAUCACCCAGGAAGCUGCCCGUCGGUCUCUGAUCGCGAUCUCCCGGUCCGUUCCGGCGGCAGGAGAGGCCCUGAACAUCAAGUUACCGGACGGCGGCAUGGCCAACGGGCACGACGACGGCGGCGCCGAGAAGUACAGAUCAAAGCUCAUCUCCAUCUCCAACCUGUCGCCUGAUGGCCAGCCCACGCCGUGCCCUCCCAAGGAUCACACCGCUGCUGCUUAGGCUUAAAAUUAACCGUGUAACGCUACGGCUUACUACUAUAGCUCUUCCAAAGUGUGGAUACCACCGUGUCCCGGGCGUGUGUUGCUGAAUGCUAUAGCGCCGAAACAGUUGUCAGGACCCUUGUGUUGGUCUUAAAUAACUGCCAUAGCUGAGUGGUCUUUAGAAUGAAACUUCCAAGCUGGAUACUGCUUAUGUGUGGUGUGGAAUUGCAUCUUGGGCUGAAAUCUUCUCGGCUCCAAAACUGGAAGAACAGUCGUGGCCUGGAGUUCUGCAGAUGCACUUGAUCGCUAUCUCGUUCUUGAGGCCAUAGAAGUAAUCGACGUAAAAUUAGAUCUUUAUUUGAGCCAUUCGAUCUGAAUACUACGCGAUGAAUAACACAGGAGUGGAGCCAGGGAGGGGCGAGCAUAGGCCUCGCCUACCCCGAGCUCUGCACAACUUCAUUGGCUCUGAUAAUAAGGUACAAGGAUUCGAAAGAAUGGUAUUAUUGUCAUAUAAUGGUAUAAUCGCCAUAUUAUAGUCAAAAGCGCAGUAGUAGUACCCCGUGUUAAUUUAGUACUUACUCCGUCCCAUUUUGUAGUUUUUAAAUAUAAUGUUUUAACUUUUCGUCUUAUUUAAACUUUUUUUGCGAUUAAUAUUUUUUUAUUACUAGAUAAUAAAAUAUGAAUAGUAUUUUAUAUGGGACUAAUUUUUUUAAGUUUUUAUACAAAUUUUUCAAAUAAGACGGACGGUCAAACAUUAGACACGGAAAAACGAAAAAUGAAAUUACUGUGGGACGGUACUGGGUUUUACGCACUUGUUUCUAAAUUGCUAAAUCUAUUUAUCACUUUAUAUUAAGAGUGUUGGAAGUUGAAUUACGGGCUGUCUCAUUUAUCUCACUAUUGACUUGACUGCUCAUGUGGACUGGCAUCAUGUUUGUCACUUGGUCACUUACUAUGCCGUUGCCAAGUCUUCUGAGCUGUAUUGUAUACUGACACCUUCCUACGAUGCUUGAAUUGCAGCCUUUGUUUGAUGGCCUCACCUGCAUCGCCGAGAGAGAUCACCCAGGAAGCUGCCCGUCGGUCUCUGAUCGCGAUCUCCCGGUCCGUUCCGGCGGCAGGAGAGGCCCUGAACAUCAAGUUACCGGACGGCGGCAUGGCCAACGGGCACGACGACGGCGGCGCCGAGAAGUACAGAUCAAAGCUCAUCUCCAUCUCCAACCUGUCGCCUGAUGGCCAGCCCACGCCGUGCCCUCCCAAGGAUCACACCGCUGCUGCUUAGGCUUAAAAUUAACCGUGUAACGCUACGGCUUACUACUAUAGCUCUUCCAAAGUGUGGAUACCACCGUGUCCCGGGCGUGUGUUGCUGAAUGCUAUAGCGCCGAAACAGUUGUCAGGACCCUUGUGUUGGUCUUAAAUAACUGCCAUAGCUGAGUGGUCUUUAGAAUGAAACUUCCAAGCUGGAUACUGCUUAUGUGUGGUGUGGAAUUGCAUCUUGGGCUGAAAUCUUCUCGGCUCCAAAACUGGAAGAACAGUCGUGGCCUGGAGUUCUGCAGAUGCACUUGAUCGCUAUCUCGUUCUUGAGGCCAUAGAAGUAAUCGA